rnacentral:rRNA from 1 species
UAAGGAAUAUUGGUCAAUGGACGCAAGUCUGAACCAGCCAUGCCGCGUGAAGGAUGAAGGUCCUCUGGAUUGUAAACUUCUUUUAUCUGGGACGAAAACGGGAUUUUUAUCUCAAUUGACGGUACCAGAGGAAUAAGCACCGGCUAACUCCGUGCCAGCAGCCGCGGUAAUACGGAGGGUGCGAGCGUUAUCCGGAUUUACUGGGUUUAAAGGGUGCGUAGGUGGGCUUAUAAGUCAGUGGUGAAAUCUCCGAGCUUAACUUGGAAACUGCCGUUGAUACUAUAGGUCUUGAAUUAUCUGGAGGUAAGCGGAAUAUGUCAUGUAGCGGUGAAAUGCUUAGAUAUGACAUAGAACACCAAUUGCGAAGGCAGCUUACUACAUAUAAAUUGACGCUGAGGCACGAAAGCGUGAGGAUCAAACA